rnacentral:lncRNA from 10 species
AGACUGCAUUUUGCCUUGCUUUUCCUUCUCCCUUUCUCUCUCUUUCUUUCUUUCUUUCUUUCUUUCUUUCUUUCUUUCUUUCUUUCUUUCUUUCUUUCUUUCUUUCUUUCUUUUUCUUUCUCUCUCUCUCUCUCUUUCUUUCUUUCCUUUCUUUUCUUUCUUUCCUCUUUCUCUUUCCUUCUUUCUUUUUUUCUUCUUUCUUUCCUUCCUUCCUUCCAUCUUUCUUUUCUUUCUUUCCAUUUUUUUUUUCCUCCAGAAGAAUGGAAACAGUAUUCUUUUCCGAUCAGUUCAGUAAUACAAUGUCCUUCAGUGUCCAUAUGAGCAUUUCAGUGGAGAAGAAAAGAAACUUUGCUACCUGGGAACUGAAGACUACUUAGUGAAGAUCCCGGUGUUACACAUCCAAUCGUUCACCUCCUUCCAAGACUAUGACAUUCCAGGAAACCUUCACUGCUAAGAGGAACUAAGAUCUAGAGUAUCUCCUCGAGGAAGUACAACUGGAUUCUCCCUCCUUGGUUCUUCCCUGGACCAAGGACAGAAGAAUCAUUCAACACAGAGGCUAUUGACAAAAGGGGCAUAUUUGGUGCAAACAGGGGUAAGUCAUGAUUAGUUCA